rnacentral:rRNA from 1 species
ACGGAGGGUGCAAGCGUUGUUCGGAAUUACUGGGCGUAAAGGGCGCGUAGGUGGUUGCGUAAGUCAGAUGUGAAAUCCUGAGGCUCAACCUCAGAACUGCAUCUGAUACUGCCUGACUAGAGUGCAGCAGAGGGGAACGGAAUUCCUGGUGUAGAGGUGAAAUUCGUAGAGAUCAGGAGGAACACCGGUGGCGAAGGCGGUUUCCUUGGCUGUUUCUGACGCUUAGGUUCGAAAGCGUGGGUAGCAAACAG